CGGAGGUGGCAAGCGUUGUUCGGGAUUACUGGGCGUAAAGGGCGCGUAGGCGGCAAGGCAAGUCAGGUGUGAAAGCCCCGGGCUUAACUCGGGAAUUGCAUCUGAAACUGCUGUGCUUGAGUUCUGGAGGGGGUAGUGGAAUUCCCAGUGUAGCGGUGAAAUGCGUAGAUAUUGGGAGGAACACCUGCGGCGAAAGGCGGCUACCUGGACAGAAACUGACGCUGAGGCGCGAAAGCUAGGGGAGCGAACGGGAUUAGAUACCCCGGUAGUCCUAGCUGUAAACGAUGGGCACUUGGUGUUGGGGGUAUUGAGUCCCCCAGUGCCGGAGUUAACACGUUAAGUGCCCCGCCUGGGGAUACGGUCGCAAGACUG
rnacentral:rRNA from 1 species